rnacentral:rRNA from 1 species
AUUGAACGCUGGCGGCAUGCUUUACACAUGCAAGUCGAACGGUAACAGGCCGCAAGGUGCUGACGAGUGGCGAACGGGUGAGUAAUGCAUCGGAACGUGCCCAGUCGUGGGGGAUAACUACUCGAAAGAGUAGCUAAUACCGCAUACGAUCUAUGGAUGAAAGCGGGGGACCGUAAGGCCUCGCGCGAUUGGAGCGGCCGAUGUCAGAUUAGGUAGUUGGUGGGGUAAAGGCUCACCAAGCCAACGAUCUGUAGCUGGUCUGAGAGGACGACCAGCCACAACUGGGCUGGGGAACGGCCCCGGCUCCUAAGGGAGGCAACAGUUGGGAAUUUUGGACAAUGGGCGCAAGCCUGAUCCAGCAAUGCCGCGUGCAGGAAGAAGGCCUUCGGGUUGUAAACUGCUUUUGUACGGAACGAAACGGCUCUGGUUAAUACCCGGGGCUAAUGACGGUACCGUAAGAAUAAGCACCGGCUAACUACGUG